GAGAAGGUCCUGGGCGCCUGUGGAGUGACCUCGUCCAGACCGCCGCAGACCCGAUCGGCAAGUUCUUGGAGGUGCAGGAAGGUUCUCCAAGGAGUAGGACCAGAAAGGGAUGAGAGCGCGAGCGCGGUUAAUGUCGAGGCUGCUAAGUGAUGCUCGUUAAUUUCGCAGCAGGGUGUGACUGGCCCAGCCUUGACUCUCAGUUUCCUCUCUCAGUAAAUGGGCAUAAUAAUACCGGUCCAGCCUACGCUGGAGAAUUGUGAGGUGAAAAUGAAAUAAGGUAUGCAAAGGUACUUUGUAAGUAUAAAGCCCAUUUGACUUGGUGGCUCAAGCCUGUAAUCCCAGCACUUUGGGAGGCCGAGGUGGGCGGAUCGCUUGAGCUCAGGAGUUCGACACCAGCCUGGGUAACAUAGUGAAACCCCGUCUCUACAAAAAAGACAAAAACUAAAUGGGCAUGUUGGCGCGCGCCUGUAGUCACAAAUGCUCGGGGGGCUGAGGUGGGAGGAUCGCUUGAACCUGGGGAGUUCAAGAUUGCAGUGAACCGUGAUCGCGCCGCUGCACUCCAGCCUCUGCAGUGAGAGCAAGACACUGUCUCAAAAAAAUGUAUUUAUCUAUCUACAUAGAUAAGAGUCCUAGAAAUCCGGGUGCAGGUCUGACUGUAGCUGGUGUAGGAAAGUCAGUUAUCCCCGACGCUGGAGCAAGCUAGGGGACCGCCCUUGCAGUUGUUGGAGGAGACAAAUUGGGAAGGACUUAAUUCCGGGCAAAGGAAGCUUCAUGAGUAAAAGUAGAAAGUGAAAAUGGUCAGGAAAAGCAAGGCUUGGGGCAGGGAGACCCAUUUUUAGGCCAUUGCAGUACUCCAGACAAGUGAUAAGAACAUUAAACAAGGCAUUGGCAGUGGGAAUAGAGGAGGGGAUAGAUGUUAGCGCCAUUAAGGUGGUAGAAUUCACAGCACUGAGUGCGGAUAAAUGAGUAGGCCAGGUUUCUAGCAUGAGUGCUGAGGUAGACAGUGGUAACAUUUAGCAAGAUGGCAAGCUACAUGAGUCUUGAUUAUCCACAAGUGUCUAAGUUACUAUUAUAGAUAGUGAUGGUGACAUUUCUUAGGAGGAUGACCAGAUAUGUGGAGUAUGAUGAUGAGUUCAAAUAUGGAUAUGUUUGUUAGGGAAACAUUUACUCUCCAUUCACAAUGUCUUUCUUCCAUAUGGAAUGAUAUCCAUUAGUGUAAUACUCUCCUGGUUUCUCUUAUACCUGUCUGCAACUCACUCUUGCCUAGAGGAGUGACUUCCUGAUUGGUGAACUUAAAUGGGAGAAACUGGACAUGUGGCAUCUAUCCCAUUCUUUUUCUCUUAAAAGAUAACUAUCUUCAGGGAACUGUCCUGGUGUUCUUUUCCGUUUCUUCUGGAGCAGGGCCUGUGGGUAGGGACAAGGGUGCCUAGUCCAGGGCUACAAAGAGAGUAUAUGUAUUUAAUUCCAGAGUUUGGCAUUAGGAAGCUGUCUGUCCACAGAUAAUAUUUAAUACCAGCUUUGUCAGCUGUGUUACACAGAAUAAUGAUCCCCCCCAACCAAAAAAAAAAGGAUGACCACACCCUAAUACUCAGAACCCAUGAAUAUGUUAUAUUAUGUGGCAAAAGGGACUUUGCAGAUAUGAUUAAAUGAUGUAUCUAGGGAGAUUAUCCUGGAUUGUCUGACUGGGCUGGAGGCAGGAGGGUCAGAGUCAGAGAAGGAGAUGUGAUGAUGGAAGCAGAGGUCAGACAGAGAUUUGAAGAUGCUAUACUGUUGGCUUUGAAGAUGGACCCAAGAAACGCAAGCAAAUUGUAGAUGCGGGAGAAGGCAAGGAAAUGGAUUCUUCUCUAGCACCCUAAGAACACAGCCCUGCCAACACCUUGAUUUUAGGACUUCUGACUUCUAGAACUGCGAGAUAAGAAACUUGUAUGUUUUAAGGUACCAAGUUUGUGCUAACUUGUUACAACAGCAAUAGGAAACUGAUACAGUCAGUAAUAAAGAUAAUAGUUGGUUUCCUGCAGCUUUCUCCAUUACCUGGAAAAGAAGGGUACAAUUCAGUAGGUCCCCUCAGAGACUAUAGCAAUAUGACUGUGACCUGAUGGAACCUCCACAUCUAGAGAAAAAUGUCCAAUAAACACUCAAACUGUACAGGUCUAUGAAUGAGGAAAGAGGUUGAGUUAAAAUAGAUUUGGAAGAAAUAAAUUAAUAAUUGGUAAUUUAAGCCCGAGGCAUGGAUGAGAUCAAUCAGGGAGAAAAUACAGAAGACAUAAUAAGGAGAGGCAAGGAUAGGGCCCCUGGAGAGCACUAACUUUAAAAGGAGGUGCAGAUGAUCAGAAGCCCAAAAAGAAGUCUGAGGAAGAAUGGCCAGAGAGAGAAAAGGAGAACUAGGUGAGCCUAAUGCCUCUGAAGCCAAGCAAGCAAGAUGGAGAGGGGUCAACAGAGUCAGAGACCACAAAAAGGCCAAGUAUAUCAAGAACUGGAAAGCAUUCACUGGAUUUAGCAACAGAAAAGUGAUUGGUAACCAACAAUAGCAAACUUCAGUGGGAUAGUGGAGAUAGAUACCAAAUCACUGAGAUCUGAAAGGCAGAUCAAUAUAGUGGAUUGGCCUCUAGACUAGUUUGAUGGGAGUUUUGAGAUUCUAGUCUUGAUUCUGGCCAUUAACUAGCUAGAUAACUUUGAACAAAUCCCUCAACUACUCCAGGCUUUGGUUUUCGCAUCUGGCAAAGGAUGAGAUCAAGCUGAGUCUAUGAUUUUCUCAUUAAUUCCUAGAUAAUCCCCCCAGUUUUAUUUUUUUAUUUUUUGUCAUAUCUGAUUCAAUACUUUUAUUUAUUUUUAUUUUUUAUUUUUGAGACAGCAUCUUGCUCUGUUGCCCAGUGUGGAGUGCAGUGGUACAAUCUUGGCUCACUGCAGCCUCAACCCCCGGGCUCAAUCACCCCAAUUUCAUAUCAGACUCACUUGCUUAUAACAGCACACUUCAAAUCCUUCUCAGACCAUUUUCCAACCACUAAGAAUCAGUAUAUUUCAUGCCAGCUUCUGUCCUAGAUACUAUGGCUAUAACACAGUUUUCAAGGAACUCACAAUUUGGAGAGAGAGAGAGAAAUACUAAGUAUGUAACUAGCUGUCAUAGUUCUUUAAAAAAAAAAAAAGAAAAAAAAGUAAGGCCAGGCGCGGUGGCUUAUGCCUGUAAUCCUAGCACUUUGGGAGGCCGAGGCGGGUAGAUCACCUGAGGUCAAGAGUUUGAGAUCAGCCUGACCAAUAUGAUGAAAACCCGUCUCUACUGAAAAUACAAAAAUUAGCCGGGCAUGGUGGCAUAUGCCAUCAUCCCAGCUACUCAGGAGGCUGAGACAGGAGAAUCACUUGAAUCCGGGAGGCAGAGGUUGUGUAGAGCCAAGAUCUCGCCAUUGGACUCCAGCCUGGGCAACAAGAGCAAAACUCUGUCUCAAAAAAAAAAUUAAAAUAAGUAAAUAAAUAAAAAUAAAAAAUAAUAAGAUAGACCUGAUUGUGGUGGCUCAUGCCCCGUAAUCCCAGUGCUUUGGAAGGCCAAAAUGGGAAGAUCACCUGAGGCCAGGAGUUUGAGACCAGCCUGGGCAAUAUAGCCAGACACCCAUCUCUACAAAAAUUUUCUAAAAAUUAGCCAGGUGUGGUGGUGCGCACCUGCAGUUCUAACUACUUGGGAGGCUGAGGCAAGAGGAUUGGGUGAGCCCAGGAGUUUGAGGUUACAGUGAGCUAUUACCAGAUUACAGUGAGCUAUGACUGUGCCAGUGCACUUCAGCCUGGGCAACAGAGCAAGACCCUAAAAGCUAGAUAUAAAUAUAUUGUAAGUAUAAUACAAUAUACUAUAACAGAAUCUGUAUGAAGUGAAAUGAGGGAUAUAUAAAGUGAUACAGAUAAGGGCGCAGUUAGCUCUAUCUAAUGGAAGUCAAGAGUGUUGUACUUACCUACACUGUUAAGUAAACACAGUAUGCCUCAAAAAUGGACACAAAUAUAUUAAGGCAUUUCCAUGGAGGUAAAAAAAGAACAGGAGAAUUGUGCUAAACCAGCGUUGUCACCUAACAUUCCUUCUAGGUAGUUUUGUUGUGAUCUAAAUGAAUAUUUAUAUAUAACUGUUUCUAAACUAAAAUUGGUUAGUUGUUAAAAUGGACACAAAUAAAAGUUAAAUGCAAGAAUAAUUUAUAUUUUUCCAGUAGAUUCAAGAGGAAAUAUUUUUUGUCACUAAUGCCAUGCUUUAAUACAUUUGCUUGUCUAAUCCUCAUGUAUUAUCUUACUUAAUUUUGUAAACAUUAGCUUAUUGUAUAGAUCACUGACAAAGUAUCUGUUUUAGCAGAUAGGGACAAAGUUUAAAUAAUUUGGCCAAGGUCAUAGUAGACCAAGAUUUGGACCCAGCACAAGCAUCCUCUUUCCAGGAAACCUUCCCUCAGGCCCUUAGUUGGUUUAAGUGCCCUCUCUCUGUACUAUUAGCAUAUGCACACACAUUCAUUUUAGCGUUGACUUUAAUAAUAAGGAUGUUUACCAUGUACCAGAUACAUAGUACUUGCACCUAUGUUAUCUAUGUUUAAGUGUUUUGUAGGCAUUAGUUCAUUUAAGCCUCAUAACUGCCCUUUGAAGUAGGUGAUAUUAUUCACAAUAUUUUAUAAAACAGGAAGCCAAGGCAUAGAAAGUUAAGUAAUUACUCAAGGUACAAUUAAUAAGUGAUAAAGCUAGGAUUCGAAUCCAUGCUUUUAACCCCCCAGGCUUCAUACUAUGUACCCUUUCCCUUAUACUGAGGAAUUCUAGAAGGCAUAGUUGACAGGUUGUUGUGUGUGAUAUCACUCUGUGUUCCUCAUAUGAACACAAGAGAAUUUUCUCUCUGAGCCACAAGUCAUGAAAUAUUUGGCUACCCUUGAGUAACUGAUGUGUUUUCUCUUUAUAGGCAAUGUGAAUUAUAUAACUGCCUGUUUUUCACUUUUCACUUUGCCAAGAAGCUCUGAGUAAAUUUGUUGGCUCAGCGUUUGUAAGUGGGUGAAUUGGCCUGCAUAUCUGUAUUCUGUUGCUUUGAAAUUUUUAAAAAUAAAUAGUUGAGAGAAAAAUAAUGUAAAUUUUCUUUAUUUUCCAAAUUGUUGACAAUGUACAAUGAUAAUUUUUAUAAUUAGAAAAAUAAACUUUGUUCUUAAAAGAACGUUUGAAGCUUCAAAUGAUUUCUCAUGCUUUGACUCUGUGAAUAAGAGCUGGUUUCAGGUUAAGUUGCAUGAGUUAAAUAUAGAAUCCAGGUUCAUAUAAAACCAAGACUUCUGUAUGACCUGGAAAGUCCAGAUCAAUAGAAUUGUUCAGACGGAUCAAAAAGUAUUUUAGGUAGCAUAAAAUAGUUGUAGCCCUUCUUGUUUUUAACUUAUGUUUAAGUAAUUUGAAACCACUUUUAGGUUAUUUGGACACAUGCUCCCUCGCUUUAGAAAUCAAAAAACCCAUUAUCUUCCUAUAUGCUGAUGAUAUUUUAUUAUAAUAAACUUUAUGGCUGAUUUUGUUGCUCACCGUUUAUCAGAAGGAAUGGAUCAAGAUCACCUGUUCCAAAACUAAAAUAAUUUUUUAGGGCACAUGUCCUCAAAUUUAAUUGGCUUAGAUCCAGUAACUAAAUACCACGUUAAUUUAUUUACUUAAGGGUAUGUUUUGCAAGUAAUUCUUCCAGGUAGAUUUACUGGCCAGCCACUUUGCUAAAAGCCAUACAUUUCAUGGGAGCAUUAAUUAGAUUUUCCUACCGUCAGAGUGAGCAACUGAUCAUUUCUUCUUUGAAAAAUUUCAAUCCAAAUUUUGAUCAUUCUCCAACAGAGCAUUCUAAUGCCUAAAUGGCCUAGGCAGGUGGGUAAGUACUCUAUACUCAGCCCAGCAGAUUGUUGCUAUGUGGUAUAAGCAUCCAAAGUUGCCAGAUUUGAAAUCUGUUGACCUCUAAAUAUUGGUAACUAAUGGGAAUUUUUUUUAAAGAAAAGAAAAACAUGACUUGUCUGUGAGUUCGCAGACCUCUUGCUCUAUUGGAUGGAACUUGAUGGUCUUGAACACUUAUUUUUUUUAUUUUUGAAGUGUUGUUUUUUUAAGGAAAAUCCUAGAUUGCCUGCAGGGGCUCUCUCUAUUCACUACCAUAUGGAGAGGAAUGUUCCUAUUUAGGUGAGAAUCUUAAUAGGGUGACUCACUCUUCACAAAAGGCUGUCAGCCCUCUACCAUCUGCUUUUUAGAUUACUGAAUUCUAAACAGUAUGUAUCUGCCUUUAGUCAGCCACACAAUAUUAGCUGGUCCAUCAGGACACUGCAUACCUGACCAUAUUGUCCUGAGCACACACACAGAAACUUUCCUCAUCCACCACCAAGAGUGUUUUCAUGGCUUGUAUUUUGAGUAUUGUGUCUUCUGCAUAUGUUAAGCAAUUCUGGAAGAGACAACUCCACAGAGCCCACCAGUGCAUUGUGUGGGCAAAUAGGCAAAGCUUCCCCUCUGCCCUCUGAAGCUGUGCUGAAAAUGAACUGACAAUAUGCAGAUUAGGAGAAAAGGGUAUGCAAAUUUAUUAACGUGCAUAAGCACAGGGGAAUCACAGGAGAAUGAUUAUCCAGUAACACAACGAGGUCCAGAUGCUUAUAUACCCUUAAUAAGAGAAGGAGAGAUGGGGGAGAUGUGGUAAUUUUAAGGGACAGUAAGUUAUUUUUAGGAGGAAUAAAUGGCUCCAAUGCUCAGGCAAUGGUUAGUAAAUGAUUCUCUUUGGGAAUUGAGUGGGAAGGGAAAGUGGAUGAUAGUUUGGGACAAAGUUUGGGCUCUACAUGUGGUGUUUAAUUUUCAGUCUCUUCCUCUGAUGUGAGGUUUAAUCUCUAGUUAAUUUCAGGGAGGGAAUCAAAGGCAAUUGUGUUCCUCUUUGAUGGGUCCAAUUUAUAGGUAUAUAAGGGAACUAAAGAGAAGAGCCUCAUCCUGAGCUUUAGGAGAGAUAAGAUUGGAGAUGGGAUGUGGGUGAAGAGGUGUCAGAUUUUGAAGCUGCUUCUUUAGUACUUCAAAGUGCCAUAUAUUGGGGUAUCAUCUUCUAAGCUCCAAUAGCUUUUACUAUAGGAUUGUUACUGUGCACUUGAUCACAUGAGAAUUUUCUUUCAGAGCCAGGUAUCAUGAAGAGCUUGGCUACUCUUGAAUAACUGAUGUGUCUUGCUUACAGCAAGUGAAUUGCAUAGCUGGAUAUGUGUUCCUUUUCACCUUAGCUGCCAUGAAGCUCUGAGUCAAAGUGUGGCUCCAUUUUAGUGCCUGAGUAGAAACCUGUGGUCUGUAUAUCUGCAUUCUAAUUUGUUUUCUACUGGUACUGAACCUUGUACUUAAGUUUGGGUUUUCUCCUUCUCUGGUUUAUCUAUAAUUUCCUUUUGCGACGGAAUCUCACUCUAUUGCCUGGGCUGGCUGGAGUGCAAUGGCGAAUCUCAGCUCACUGCAACCUCCGCCUGCCGGGUUCACGCAGUUCUCCUGCCUCAGCCUCCCAAGUAGCUGGGAUUACAGGUGCAUACCACCACGCCUGGCUAAUUUUUUGUAUUUUUAGUAGAGAUGGGGUUUCACUAUGUUGGCCAGACUGGUCUUGAACUCCUGACCUCAUGAUCCACCCACCUCGGCAUCCCAAAGUGCUGGGAUUAUAAGGGUGAGCCACUGCACCCAGCCGGCUUACCUAUAAUUUUCUACAUUCUGUUUGUAAUUUCACUAGCCACUUCAAGUUGUUUGUGAAAAAACUAGGAAAAUGAAUGGUAAAUACACUUAUGAUGACUAUCUUAUUCCUAGUCCCUUUCCCUCACUUCAGGUAAAAGUUAAAACUUAUACACCUGGCCAGGCACAGUGACUCAUACCUGUAAUCCCAGGACUUUGGGAGGCCAAGGCAGGCAGAUCAACUUGAGGCCAGGAGUUUGAGACCAGCCUGGCCAACAUGGUGAAACCCCGUCUCUACUAAAAAUACAAAAAUGAGACAGGCAUGGUGGUGUGUACCUGUAAUCCCAGCUACUUGGGAGGCUGAGGCACGAGAAUUGCUUGAGCCUGGGAAGCAGAGGAUGCAGUGAGCUGAGAUUGUGCCACUGCAUUCCAGCCUGGGUGACACAGCGAGACUCUUCUCAAAAAAAAAAAAAAAAAAAAAAAAAAAACGUAUACACCCUUCUCUGCUAAGAGUAUAUCUUGUUUAUGAGUUCUCUAGCAUUUUACAUAAGAUAAAUAGAGCUAAAACGAUGAAUUGUCUUUUAAUGUUAUUGCAGCUCUGCAGCAUGUCAUUCUCUUAACUUUGCUUUUUUUUUUUUUUUCCUGAGGGAGAUGGAUAGGUGAAGUAAUGGUUGACAAGCAUAAGUGGGAAGCUUCAAGUCCCAGGUUCUCCCAUCAAAUCAUUUUCUCACAAUCUUGCUCAGUAUUCUCUUCUAGUAGGCCAGAAUUUGAAGGAUUAGCUCUCUGUAUAUCUAAUCUAAAUCCUACUCCUUGUUUUAAACUCUUUGAUUUCAAAUAUUAAUGAUCUGGUACUAUUCACUAGUGUAUCUAUUUCCACAUACUUUCUUUAACUGAAGGUACAUGGAAGAUUCUAAGCAGGAUUCAUUGUUGUCUUAAUACAUCUUUUAUAUUUGCUAAGUUGAAGGCAGAAAGGUAACUGAGUGCUAUGACUAUUCUUAGGCAUUGUCAUCAACACCAAUGUGUCUAUGAUUUAAUAUUUUAAUACUGUACUUACCUUGAGAACUGGACAGUAAAGUUGCUUUGUAAAUGUAAGGUAAACAUUUCAAAUAUACUAUAAUCUUUGUAGUCAUAUUUUGUAUUUUUUCAUUGCUUAAUAUACCCUGAGCCAAAAACAAAAAAAAUAGCCUAGGCUAUUUUCUACUUCAAUUUUCAUUUACUUGGCUACUUUGUGCCAGGCACAGAGGGGAUACAGAGAUGGAGGAUAUCGUUUCUGAUCUAAAGGAGCUAACAGUCUAGAACUGCACUGUCCAGUAUGGUAGCCUCUAAUCACAUGUGGCCAUUUUAAUUUAAAUUAAAAAUCCAGUUUCUCGGUCAUACUAGCCAUAUUUCAAGAAGCCAAUAGUGGGCGGGCACUGUGGCUCACACCUGUAAUCCCAGCACUUUGAGAAGCCGAGGCCGUAGAAUUGCUUGAGCCCAGGAGUUCGAGAUAAGCCUGGCAAAAUAGUGAAACCCCAUGUCUGCAAACAUAAAUAAAUAAAUAAAUAAAUAAUAGCGGGGCACGGUAGUGUAUGCCUCUAGUCCAUGCUACUUAGAAGGCUGAGGCAGGAGAAUCGCUUGAGCCCAGGAAUUUGAGGCUGCAGUGAGCCAAGAUCUCACCAUUGCACUCCAGCCCAACCAACAGAGGGAGACCCCAUCUCAAAAAAAAAAAAAAGAAAAAAAAUUGUCAAUAGCUACUGUAUUGGACAGUGCAUGUAUACAACAUUUCUAUUAUUGCAGAAAGUACUUUUGGAUUGUGUUGGUCUAAAACUCAUAUAAGACUCAGACAUGCAAAGUAGGGCAAGGCAAUUUCAGACAGAAAGAUCGUGUGUGAAGUAUGCAUAAGAAUGACUUGGGGGGCAUGUUGAUUCCUGCUGCCAGAUAUUCUCAUUUAAGGGGUAGCAGGAGAGCCUGUGUUUUUAACAAAUACCCCAGGUGAUUCUGAUGCGGAAGGUGUGUGGACUACACAGAAAAAUCAUGUAGGGUAAGUGGCAAUCGCCUAAUAGAAUGAUUCUGAACUUCCUACUUAAAUGGCAUCUGGUGCUUGAGCCAAUCUAAUUUUGACUUAGCCAGAUAAGAGUGCAGUGAAUACAUUUGUACCUCAAGUGUUGUAGAGCAUUUUGUACUCUUUAGGUGUCUAAAGACAUAUCAAAGGUUAUAGGUGUCUUGAAUUUGUCAUGUACAUUUUGAAUACUUUAAAAGGAUGUGUUUAGGUCAGGAUAGGCUAGGUUAUGCAACAGUAAAAACCCCAAAAACAUCAAUGUAUUUUUCCAAAAGGGAAAGAGAGAACUCUAGAGGAUCUCACACUACCAAGAGUCCAGAAAAGACAGACAUCACUUCUCACAAGUCAUGUCAAAACUCAACACAGAACCAACCCUAAGGAAGCCAGAAAGUGCAGUCCUACCAUGUGUUCAAAAGAGAAACAGAACCAGAUAAGGGUGAGCAGCACCUAUGAUUACCACGUGAUGGUAAAGGAAAUAAUGGUGAUCGUGCUGCAAGACAGAUGAGACUUCCAGACACACAUAGUGGUGGUGAGUGGCAGAGAUGUGUAGGACUAGGAUGAGUUUUAGAGAAAUUCUUGACUGAGAGAAAGAAGCCAGCAUGAAAUGACGAAGAACUGAAAGUUGAGUUAGAGUGUUUUGUAGACAAACACCGUUGACUACCUCUCUCUUUAAGACAAAGGCUUGAUCCUGAAAGGGAUCUUAAUCUAAGGUUUUGGGUUUUGUUUUGAGACAGGGUCUUGCUGUGUCACCCAGGUCAGAGUGCAGUAGUGCAAUCACAGCUCACUGCAACCUCAACCCUCUGGGCUCAAGCAAUCCUCCUGCCUCAGCCUCCCGAGUAGCUGGGGCUGCAGGCAUGCACCACUGUGCCCAGCUAAUUUCUUUUAAAUUAUUAUUUGUAGAGAUGAAGUCUCGUUCUGUUGCCCAAGCUGGUCUGGAACUCCUGGGCUCAAGCAAUCCUCCUGCCUCUGCCUCCCAAAGUGCUGAGAUGAUAGGCAUGAGCCACCAUGCCCAGCCUGAAGCUUUGGGUUCUUGAGAGGAUGAUGUAAAAUAUUAUGAUAUAGGCAAAGGGACACAUCUGUAAGCUGACAGUGCUAUGUCAGAGAAGGAUCAAAGAGCCAGCAGUCUCAGAAGAGUCCUGCUUCUGUCUAAUCUGGGGAGAAGACUGUUCAGUCCAAUGCUACCUGAAGGGCCCCGGGCAGUAGACCCUGGUGUAGAAGGAGAAAAGUAGCUCCAGGAGAAGCCAUUUAAUUCCACUGAUAGCAGGAGUCAGCUAUUCUGGAUUUUGGUGGUUUUGUUUUGUUUUGUUUUGUUGUGUUUUGGUCUUGGUUUACUUUCUUCAAGCUAUUGAAUGCCCCUAUAUAUGACUAUGAUUUUUCUAAUGUCUGCACACAUCAGUGUGUGUAUCUAAACUGUAUAACUCAUAAAUAUUCAGUGACUCACCUUGUAAAAGGAUUUCAGUCUCUUGCUCUAGUGAAGCAAGAUCAUGUGAACACUAAUCUUGACCAGCGAAAUGUAAAUGAAACUAAUGUGUAUUAGUUCUAGCUGAAGUUUUUAUGCUCUCUGUUCCUCUGCCAAGAUGACCAACAGUGUUCCAGAAAAAAAACUGCCAUUGAUUUUAGCUGAGACCCUCAGAGGCCUGUGUAGUGUGAGGAGAAAUAAAUCUUUGUUGUUGUAAGCCACUGAUUUCGGGGAUCAUUGUUACUGUAGCAUAACCCAGCCCAUACUAACUGAUAUUAUGUGGAUUCUGUCACCAUCUGUGCAGAGUAGGCCAUUGAGAUACAUCAGGCAAUGAUGGAUUAGAAUGAAAAAUAAAGGAGAAAUGUAUGUUCCAAAAUACUGUUUUAUAAUGAUAAAAAGCCAAAUGAAGAAGAUAUAAUUGGGCCAGGCAUGGUGGUUCAUGCCUGUAAACCCAGCACUUUGGAAGGCCAAGGUGGGCAGAUCACCUGAGGUCAGGAGUUGGAGACCAGCCUGGCCAACAUGGAGAAACCCUGUCUCUACUAAAAAUACAAAAAUUAGCCAGGCGUGGUGGCACGCGCCUGUAAUCCCAGCUACUUGGGAGGCUCAGGCCGGAGAAUCGCUUGAACCCAGGAGGUGGAGGUUUCAGUGAGCCAAGAUCACGCUAUUGCACUCCAGCCUGAGCAACAAGAGUGAAACUCCGACUCAAAAAAAUAUAUAUAUAGUUGUUAUAAAUCUCUAUACAUCAAGCAGUUUAGUAGCAAACUACAUAAGGCAAAACCUUUUAAAAAAUACAAGGAGAUUUUCAUAAAACUAUAAUUUUAUUAGAAGGCUUAAUACGUGUUUCUAAACUUUGAUGUACCAAAUGACUAAUAAUAAUAACAAGGCUAUGGAGGAUUUUAAUUAAACCCUCAACGAGCUUGAUAUAAUAGUUUUGAAUAGAACUUAGUAUCUUAUAAUAGAAAAUACAACUAUUCUUGUCCAAGGAACAUUCACAAAAAUCAAUCAUACACUUGUUCACAAAGAAAAUUUUAAAAUGGUAAACUUCAAAAAGAAGAAAUGAUACAGUGUAUGUUCUCUAGCCACAAUGAAAUUAGAACUAAUAUUAAAAGAUUGCAAAAUAAAAAUUAUCUUGAGAUAGAGGAAAUAUAAAUUGCAAUUAUUUUCUUUUAACUUUUAGGUUUGGGGUGCAUGUGCAGGUUUGUUCCAUGGGUAAACUUGUCUCACAGGGGUUUGUUGUACAGAUUAUUUCAUCACCCAGGUAUUAAGCCCAACACCCAAUAGUUAUCUUUUCUGGUCCUAUUUUUUUUAAUUACAGAAGAAUAGCAAUGGGCACUUUACAUAUCAAAAGCUGUCUUGUGUAACCAAAACUAUUCUCAGAGGAAAAAAAUAAUAAAUUAACUUUUGAGACCAAGCAUGGUGGCUCACACCUGUAAUCCCAGCACUUUGGGAGGCCGAGGCUGGUGGAUCACCUGAGGUCAGGAGUUCGAGACCAGCCUGGCCAACACGGUGAAACCCUGUCUCUACUAAAAAUACAAAAAAAAAAAAAAAAUCAGCCGGCGUGGUGGCACAUGCCUGUAUCCCAACUAUUUGGGAGGCUGAGGCACGAGAAUCAUUUGAACCCAGGAGGCAGAGGUUGCAGUCAGCCAAGAUCGUGCCACUGCACUCCAGCCUGGGCAACAGAGGGAGACUCCAUUUCAAAAAAAAGUACUUUUGAGAUUUAAAAAAAAAAUUGUAAAUAAGUGAAUUAAUCAUUCCACUUAGAAAAAAGAAGGGAGGUCGGACACAGUGGCUCAUGCCUGUAAUCCCAGCACUUUGGGAGGCCGAGGCGGGCGGAUCACCUGAGCUCAGGAGUUCAAGACCAGCCUGGACAACAUGUUGAAACCCCGUCUCUACUAAAAAUACAAAAAAUUAGCCGAGCGUGGUGGUUCAUUCCUGUAAUCCCAGCUACUCAGGAGGCUGAGGCAGGAGAAUUGCUUGAACCCAGGAGGCGGAGGUUGCAGUGAGCCAAGAUCGCGCCACUGCACUCCAGCCUGGGUGGCAGAGCGAGACUUUGUCUCAAAAAAAAAAAAAAAGAAGAAGGGAAACUGAGAAACUGGGGAUGGAGGUGGAUAUAGAAGUGUACCAGUUAGUUAUGGCUACAAAAAUGCUGCAUAACGAACACACACAAUCUCAGUGGUAUACAGCGAUAAGCAUUUAUUUCUUGCUCAUGCUGAUCAGCUAAGAUCCCUGUGCUUCAACUGUGGAACACUCUGGAGUCCAGGUGGGAAGGGCAGUGGCUCACUGGAGCAUGGUUUUCUCAUGGUGACGGCAGCAGUGCAAGAGCACAAGCCUGACCACAGAAACAUGUCGGGUCUCUGCCCAGGUCACAUCUGCUAACAUCCUCAGAUCCUACCACUCUCUUUCUCACUCACUCCACUGUAAUUGCUUUGGCCUCUUUGCUCUUCCUGCUGCUCUCCCUGUGCCACCACGCCAGCUGAUUUUUUUUUUUUUUUUUUGUAUUUUUAGUAGAGACAGAGUGCCCUCCCCUAGCACAUUCAUUCCCAUGGCUCACUACCUCACUUCAGGUUUCAGCGUCAAUGUCUUUUGUCAAUGAGGUCUUUUCUGACCAACCUGUAUAAAAUAGCAACUUUACCUGUAUUCCACCUUUCUCCAUAGCAGCAACUAUCAACAGCAACUUAUAUCUACACACAUACAUGUAUACUUGUUUAUUUAUUGGCUUCUCCACUAGAAUGUAAGCUCUGUGAAUUUAGCACUUUGAUUUGCUCACUGCUGUUUCCCCAGCACCUUUAGCAGUAACUGGCAAAUAGUAGAACCUAAAUAAAAAUGUAUUAAAUGAAGAAGUGAGAAACCAUUUCAUACCAAUCAGAUUGCAAAAAGUAAAGUUUGAUCCCUCCUGUUGUUAAGUUUGUGGAGCAACUUAACUCUUCAACACUGCUAGUAGACAUGUAUAGUACAAUAGUAUUAUCAGUGUUUCAGAGACUGCUCAUUUACUUCCAAUAUCAGUUUUCCCUUUCUUCCUUAGUAAUAGAAUCCACUAUUUUUUGUAGAGCAUUUAACCACCCAGAAUAAAGAUGACACAUCCCAGUCUCUCUUGCAGCUAGGUGUGAUCAGGUGACUAAGUGCUGGCCAACAGUAUAUACUUGGAAGUCUUUCUUCUCCUCUUCUCCCUUCUUGCUGGCUGGAAUGUGUAUGUGAUGAGUGAAGUUUGAACAUCCAUAUUGCACUACAAGAUGAAGACCGCAUGCUAAAAAUGGUGGAGCAGCAAGACGGAAGUCUCCUGUAUCCCUGAUGAUUUUGUGAAGCCACCACUCCACCCUUGCACUGCCUAGCUCUGGAUUUAUUUUAUACAGUGCUACUCCAGUGUGGUGGUCCUCACAGUGUGGUCCUGGACCAGCAGCAUCAGCAUCACUUAGCAACUUGUUGGAAAUGCAAGUUUCUGCUAAAUCAGAAACUCUGAGUAGAGAUCUACUACUUUCUGAAUCAGAAACUCUUGGAGUGAGGCCCAGGAAUCUGUGUAACAAGCCGUUCCUGUGAUUCUUUUUUCCCCCCUAGCAACUGUGAGAUGUAAGUUGCCUGUUUAAAAUGUGUAGUUUAGUGGUUUUUAGUAUUUCAGAGAGUUGUGCAAACAUCACCACAAAAAGCAAUCUCAUUCCUGCUGUCAGUAUUCCUCAUUCCCCCAUACCACCAUCCCCAUCCCCAGGCAACACCUAAUCUGCUUUCUGUCUCUACAGAUUUGCCUAUUCUAGACAUUUCAUAGAAAAUGGAAUCAUACACCAUGCAGUCCUUUGUGGCAUCUUUCACUAAGCGUAAUGUUUUCCUCUGUAAAUUCUUAUAUGCUGAAGUCUGAGAACUGCUGUCCUAGGGUAGAAGUGGAAAGGAAGUAGUCAGAGAGAGUGUGAAAAACCAAGAGUAUGAAAAAAGAAGAAUGCCCCGAUCAUGAGAUAGAGAAAAGAAAUGACACCAGAAGGACAUUAACAGCAAAAGGUAAAAAGCAGUUUUUUCCAUGUGGGAAAAUAAGCUACCAGCCUUGCUCCCAAAGUCCAGGAAGACUGACACUGAGGCCAAAUAUAAUUAUAUAUUAUAUUCAUGUUUUGCUCUGCCUAUAUUAUAGCUUUAAUCUUUUUAUCUCCUUAAAUAAUAAUCAAACAGAUGAUAGUUAAAGCCAUGAGAGUAGGUGAAACUGUCCCAGGAGGAAGAUAUUACAGAAAAGAAAAGGCUACUGCUGAGGACAGAAUAUUGGAGGAAUGUCUUUCAUUCCUAUGUUGCAGUUUUCAAAAUGGUUCAUGCCCACUUUCUCCCUUGAAUCUAUCCGUAACCCUGUUAGGAAGUAAAGUGAGUAUCACUAUCUGGACUCCUUAUUUAAGACGUGAUUUCUCACACGGAUAUAAUUUGCUCAGGGUGUCAUGUUGAGUGGUUGAGUUGAGGUUUCUUCUCCACUCAGUAUUUCUCAUCUGUAUUUAAAGGGAAGAGGAAGAAAUGGAGACAGAAGGGCCGGUCAGGAAGGUAGGAGUAGAACUAGGUGGGUACAGUUUCAUGGAAGCAAAGGGAGGAGUGUUUCAAGGAAGGCCAUCUUGUUUGCUCCCUUGAAUUAAAAAAAAAAAUUCUUCUAAUGAACAGAGUGUGUUCUUUGUUGAGUGACCAAUCAUACUGUGCAGUAAAGAGGUAUCGACGUGAACAACCCGGGGAGAACAUGCUUUCUCUUGGUUCUAACCUACAAAGUCCUCCUCUUGGCAUUAGUUUUCCAUUUAUCAUAGGUCUCUUAAAAAAAAAACAACUUUUGUUUUUAAUUGAAGUCUAACAGACAUAGAAUGAGGUACACAAAUAAUUAUAUAGCUUAUUGGAUUUUCGCAAUCCAGGUCAAGAAAUAGAACAUGACCAGCACUCCAGAAAACCCCUAUUCUCUCUCCCAGUUACUAUCUUUCUCUCUUCCCCAAAUAUAGCUGUUUUCCUGACUUCCAAAUAUAAUGGAUUAUUUUGAGAAGAGGGCAUGCCAGAGUGGAUGGUCUAUGUGUGGCCAGAAAACCUAUCAGUUGACUGUGUCCCUCAGAAAUGCCUGUAAGACAUUUCAUUUACCAAAACAAUAAAGAGUGCCAGUGAUGGCACUGGUGUCAUUGGAAACUCAGUGGUUGCUCUGUACUCCAGAGCUGAUGGCAAAACAUGCUGUUGCAGAACUGAGCUGCCUGACAGUAAUGGGGAUGAAAGGUCUUGUAAUAAUAGAGGGCAUGCACUUAGCCUUCAGAAAUAAGGUGAGUGCAAUUAUUAUAAUGAGCAGCAAGGUCAGGGUGGCAGUGGUGAGGAGAGGAGGAUCAUCUGGAGAGAGCUAUGGAGAAGAUUAAUAGAAUAUGGAUUCCCUAGGGGGAAGUAGAUGGACAGCAAAAAAAAGUAUUGCUCAAUCUAUAAACCUGUGAAUUAUGUCAAGUAAAAUAAAUGUAUUACUCAAUCUGUACAAUCAAAAGAAAUCAAAGAUAGAUAAUGAAAAAAUGAAAAGGCUAGUGCCAUUGACCCAAUAUUUUAAAAAAUCACAACUUCUUGCCUAGUUCCCAAGCAUGAGCCUGUUUUCAGACCCAGAAUCUACUGACUGAGUGAGAGGCCAGGUUAACAGAAAGAAUGACCCUGCAACACCAUAGAAGUCAUAUCAGUCACGACUUCCCCCCAAUCAUUCCCCAGAGGAACUACAGUCAUUUACUAGGGUAGCCAUACGUUGGUGAAAGAGGAAUACUCAGUAUUUUGAAGACUGUUGGACACAAGGCUCAAGUUGUCAUUGAUACCUGGGAACCCGAAGCAUCAUCAUGGCCCCUGGGGCUUAAGGGAGUCAGAUAAUAAAUGGAGUCCUGGCCCAGGGCCAGUUCACAUACCCAGCCAGUGGUCAUUUCACUCAUCUUCUGCUAUAUAAUUGGAACCCACUUUAUAGUUGACAGAACACCCAUGUUGUUUCCUUGAACUGGGGGGUAAGAGCUAUCCUAGUGGCGUAGGUUAUGUAGAAAUUUCUGCAACAUACCCCACUCUGGCCAAAAUAAUAAAUAAAAAAUCAGUAUCAGAUCCUGGGAGGAAUGGCAAAAAUUAAUACCAGCCUUAAAGAUGUAAGGGAUGCAUGGGUGGUGAACCCCGUCUUAUCUCCAUAUAAUUCAGCAGUCUGGCCUACAUAAACACCAAGUCGAUCCUGUAAGAUAACUGUGUUCUACUGCAAGUUCCACAAGUAGUUGCCCAGUUACAGAUGCCCUACCAGAUGUGGAAUCUUUGUUUAAGCAGAUUAACACAGCUUCAGUUAUACAUUGUGAAGCCAUUUGAUCUAAAUGUAUUUUUCCAGAGGACUAGAAGCUAGUUUGCAUGUUCAUGGGAUGGACAAGAUGAUACAUUUACUAUCUUGUUCUGAGGCUAUGGUGACUUUCGCCCUGUGUCAUAGUUUGAAGUGAUCCGGACCACCUGGACAUUCUGUAGAAUACCACAUUAAUUCACUCUAUCAAUGACACUAUGAUCACUGAAUUAGAUGAGCAAGAAAUGGCAAAUAUAUUUAAGGUCUUUGUAAGACACAGGAACACUAAGAAGCAUGAAUAAAACACACAAAGAUUUAGGGACCCAACAUAUCACUGAUGGUUUUAGGAAUUCCAGGGUCUAUGGUAUGACAGGUCAUCCCCUCCAAGGCAGAGGAGAGGCUGGGCACAGUGGCUCACACAUGUAACCCCAACACUUUGGGAGGCUGAGGUGGGCAGAUUGCUUGAGCCCAGGAGUUUGAAAACAGCCUGGGUAACAUGGUGAGACCCUGUCUCUACAAAAAAUACAAAAAUUAGCCGGGUGUGGUGGCUUGCACCUGCAGCCCCAGCUACUUGGGAGGCAGAGGUGGGAGGAUUGCUUGAGCCUGCAAGAUCAAGGCUGCAGUGAGCCAUGAUUGUGCCAUGGCACUCCAGCCUGGGUGACAGAGUAAGACCCUGUCUCAAAAACAAACUAACAAAAAAUGACAACAAUAACAACAAUGGAAAAAACAAAGCAUAUCUCAUACUUGGGGAUACUGCUCUGACUCAUUUAUUGAGUACCUCACAAGGCUGCCAGCUGAGUUCAGGCCAAAGUAGGAACAGGCAAUGCUGCAGGUAAGGGCGGCAGCCCCACUGCCUCCUAAUGAUAAGGAUCACUUACUUCUUUCAGAAUGGUGAUUCUUCUUGUUGCUUGAAGUAGCAGGGCAGCAAUCAUAGCUUAAAAAUUAAUAGUACUCAUUAUAUUGGUUCCCUUUGGGAACCAGGACCUCUAGACAAGCAGAGCCCAGAGUUGUGGGGCUGGGAAGUACACAGGCCCUGAGUGGAUAACUGGGAGCAAUGUUGAAAAGGGGGUUACUCGUGUUUCCAACCCUUGGUUUCUGAACCCAUGUAUAAUACCUUUUGGGAAUAUGGCACUAAUAAUGAUCAUUUAUUUAGGGUAUUUAAUGUGUCCUGGAGGAUAGCACCUCAUCAUCACAGAGUAUGGUCUCCAAGAUGGCACCUCAGCUGUACCUUGAAAAGACCAGCAGCUUCUGGGUGGUGCAGCAUGUGGUAGGCCUAGUGGAUCCCAUGGUCAUGUACGCAUUACCAUUAGGUUGGGGCAAAGGUAAUUGCGGUUUUUUCCAUUGAAAGUAAUGGCAAAAACCUUAAUUACCUUUGCACCAAGCUAAUACAUCUUCUUUUUGUAAAAUGGGCCUCUCGGUCUAAUGAGACAUUGUGUAAAAUCUUGUGUUGCUAAGGAUCAAAAACUCUCUAGGCCCUUGGACACUCAUGCUAGCUGAGGUCCCGUGGUCAGAAAGGUAAGCACAUACCCAGAAUACAUGCUGAUUCCAGUCAAGAUGCAUUACUGCCCCUAACAGAUGGAGAUGGCUCAAUGAAAUCAACCUGCCACCAAGUCGCUGAUUGUUUUCCUCAAGGUACGGUGUCAUAGCAGGGGCUCAGCACUGGUCUCUGCUGCUGACAGGUCGGCAGAGUUGAGUGGCAGUAGCUUGGAAAGUGAGAGCCAAUGCUAUGGGACCCAUGAAUGGCUUUCGUCUCUGCCACUGUGACCAGUUCAUUUGUGUUGUCCAAAACUGAUGGCUUAUGACAGAGGUUGGCUGGUGUGAACUGGCCAGGUUAUCUGUCUUCUUGGUUGUUUAAUGCAUCUUCUAUGGUGGAUGCACAGUGGCCAGUUAGUAAUACGCUUAGCAUUCUUCAGUCUUAGUAUCCAUUUAGGUCUUGGUAUUCCUAUGCUCAAUUUUGAUGGCAAAUGGACAAAUGUAGGAACCCUGGCUUGCCUUGGAGAGACAUGGUGCCAGGGGCUUGACCCUCCAGAAAUGACAGUCUGGAUCACUCCAUCAGGUGAGCUAUGCAGACUAGUGUAGAUGUUAGCCAAGGACGAAGAGAAUCUAUAGUGGCAGUAGAAGAGAUAGAUGAUGUGUAUCGGUUGUGGUCACAAAAUCAGCUGCAGAAGUAAGGUCAGUAGUUAAUUCCAUUUAACCUUUCCCUUACAGUAAGUUUCUCUAGAAAAAAAGAUCAAUCAGAAUCCUAGAGGAAUGGCUUCCAGAUAGAUUAAACUUAUUAUAUAAAGUAAGGAUCUGAGUGGUGCAAGGGGUACACUCUAUUGUUGGCUGUGGUGAGCUUUCCAGAUCUCUGUUUCAGGACCAAGAUACCCACUCCUGCAACUACUGGAAGUGUUGCCUGCUGAUAGCUUAUAACUGAGUCUUUCCCCAGGAAUUUUCCUUAGUGGAAGAGAGCUGCAUCAUCCAAGGUUAGAUUCCCUUGUUUGCAUCUAAUGACUGUUUAGCAUAGGGGUACACACGCCAAGGAUGGUCCCCUUGCCUCAAACUGCAGUCUCUCUAAAAGGCCAUUGGAAUUGGCUGAGACCUCUGUUGCAACUGCAUUACAGUUAAAUCUCUCCUUCUGCUCAAUUGUGCUUGCUUUAUUUCCUUACAGGUGUUGUUCCUGAAAGCACUCCCCCAUAAAACACCUGCAUGUGAAUCUCCAUCUUGAAGCCUGUUUCCUGGGAACCUGCCUAUAGCAUUGUCCUUUACCUAUUUCUCUGCAGUGCUACCUUUGUUUUAUUUUUAUUUAUUUAUUUAUUUAUUUAUUUUGAGAUAGGGUCUCACUCUGUCACCCAGGCUGGAUGCAGUGGUGUGGUAUCAGCUCACUGCAACCUGCACCUCCCAAGUUCAAGUGAUUCUCGUGCCUUAGCCUUCCGAGUAGCUGAGGCUACAGGCUUGUGCCACCACUCCAGCUAAUUUUGUAUUUUUAGUAGAGACAGGGUUUCGCUGUGUUGGCCAGGCGGGUCUCAAACUCCUGGACUCAAGUGAUCCACCUGCCUCGGCCUCCCAAAGUGCUGGGCUUACAGGCGUGAGCUGCCAUGCCUGGACUGCCUUGUUUUAAAUCUUUGUUGUACACAGAUUAUAUGAAGAUCUGUUCCUGAACUUUAUAUUCUGUCCCUUUGAUCUAUUUGUCAAUACCACCCUGCCUUAAUUAUUGUAAUGUCAUGAUAAGUCUUGAUAUCUGGCAGAGAAAGUUAUCCAAUUUGCUUGAUCAGUUCCAAUUUGCAGAUCAGAUGUGAUCCAAUUUGCUUUGAUCAGACCAAAAGGACUAUUUUGGUCCUUUGCAUUUCCAUAUACAUUUUAGAAUCAGCUUGUUAGUUCCCAUAAAAAUCUUUCUGUAAGUUUGAUUGGAAUUUCAUUCAGUCUAAAGAUAGAUUUUUGGAGAAUUUACCUCCUGUUAACUUCCAAUUUAUAAAAAUGAUAUGUCCCUCCAUUCCUUUAGGUCUUUAAUUUCUGUCAUUACAGUUUUACAGUUCUGUAGUUUAUAGAGGUCUUGCACAUCUUGUUAGAUUUAUUCCUAGGUAUUUGACAUUUAGAUGCUGUUUUAAAUUGAUUUUUUUUUUUUUUGAGAUGGAGUCUUGCUGUGUUGCUCAGGCUGGAGUGCAGUGGUGUGAUCUCGGCUCACUGCAACCUCCACCUCCUGGGUUCAAGCGAUUUUUCUGCCUCAGCCUCUGAGGUAGCUGGGAUUACAGGUACGUUCCACCAUGCCCAGCUAAUUUUUGUAUUUUUAGUAGAGAUGGGGGUUUCACCAUAUUGGCCAGGCUGGUCUCGAACUCCUGACCUCAAGUGAGGAGGCGGUCUUGCCUCGGCCUCCCAAAGUGCUGGGAUUACAGGUGUGAGCCACCAUGCCUGGCCAUGGAAUUAUUUUUAAUUUUUUUUAUUUUGAGAAGGAGUCUUGCUCUGUUGCUCAGGCUGGAGUGCAGUGGGGUGAUCUUGGCUCACUGCAACCUUCGCCUCCUGAGUUCAAGUGAUUCUGUCUCAGCCUCCUUUGUAGCUGGGAUUAUAGACAUGCGCCACCAUGCCCAGCUAAUUUUUGUAGUUAUAGUAGAGAUGGGGUUUCACCAUGUUGGCCAGGCUGGUCUCGAACCCCUGACCU
rnacentral:lncRNA from 1 species